UAGAGUUUGAUCCUGGCUCAGAUUGAACGCUGGCGGCAGGCUUAACACAUGCAAGUCGAACGGUAACAUAAAGAAGCUUGCUUCUUUGAUGACGAGUGGCGGACGGGUGAGUAAUGCUUGGGAAUCUAGCUUAUGGAGGGGGAUAACUACGGGAAACUGUAGCUAAUACCGCGUAAUAUCGAAAGAUUAAAGUGUGGGACCUUCGGGCCACAUGCCAUAGGACGAGCCCAAGUGGGAUUAGGUAGUUGGUGAGGUAAAGGCUCACCAAGCCGACGAUCUCUAGCUGGUCUGAGAGGAUGACCAGCCACACUGGGACUGAGACACGGCCCAGACUCCUACGGGAGGCAGCAGUGGGGAAUACUGCGCAAUGGGGGCAACCCUGACGCAGCCAUGCCGCGUGAAUGAAGAAGGCCUUCGGGUUGUAAAGUUCUUUCGGUAGCGAGGAAGGCAUUUAGUUUAAUAGACUAGGUGAUUGACGUUAACUACAGAAGAAGCACCGGCUAACUCCGUGCCAGCAGCCGCGGUAAUACGGAGGGUGCGAGCGUUAAUCGGAAUAACUGGGCGUAAAGGGCACGCAGGCGGUGACUUAAG
rnacentral:rRNA from 1 species